GAAANGAACUUUGAAGAGAGAGUUCAGAGUACGUGAAACCGUUCAGGGGUAAACCUGAGAAACCCAAAAGAUCGAAUGGGGAGAUUCAUCGACGACGAAGCUGGCUCCCGUUGGCGUGCGAUUCCCCCGUUGGGACCUCGGUUCCAGAACGCGGGGUACACCCCUUCGGCGAAUAACCGGCGACGUAGUCGUGCACUUCUCCCUUAGUAGAACGUCGCGACCCGUUGUGUGUCGGUCUACGGCCUGGGCUAUUUGCCUGUCGCGGUGGCAUUCGUUCGCUCGCGGCAGAGGCUCGGUCGCCCGGCCGGCUGCACGACGGUACUCCGACGGUAUCGGGCCGCAACCAAUCCAUUUUCGAAUGGUAUAUGCGUCCAGGCCCGUCGCAAGCUCGGACAGCACCCGGAGCGUGUGGACGCAGCGCCCUCCCCGGGUCUGGCCAGCUGUUAGCAGACGGUGUCCUCGGACCGGCCAAGCUUCGAAUUACCGGUCAGCGACGCUAUUGCUUUGGGUACUCUCAGGACCCGUCUUGAAACACGGACCAAGGAGUCUAACAUGUGCGCGAGUCAUUGGGACAUUGAAACCUAAAGGCGAAAUGAAAGUGAAAGUCGUCGUAAGCGUCGACCAAGGGAGGAUGGGCCGCGUCACGUCGCGGCCUCGCACUCCCGGGGCGUCUCGUUCUCGUUGAGAAGAGGCGCACCCAGAGC
rnacentral:rRNA from 1 species